AAUAAGGCCCUUUUCAGGGUCAUAUAAAUUUAAUAAAAGAAAUAUG
rfam:Stegodyphus mimosarum contig3629, whole genome shotgun sequence.